rnacentral:rRNA from 1 species
UGGGGAAUAUUGGACAAUGGGCGCAAGCCUGAUCCAGCCAUGCCGCGUGAGUGAUGAAGGCCUUAGGGUUGUAAAGCUCUUUCACCGAUGAAGAUAAUGACGGUAGUCGGAGAAGAAGCCCCGGCUAACUUCGUGCCAGCAGCCGCGGUAAUACGAAGGGGGCUAGCGUUGUUCGGAAUUACUGGGCGUAAAGCGCACGUAGGCGGAUAUUUAAGUCAGGGGUGAAAAUCCCGCAGCUCAACUGCGGAACUGCCUUUGAUACUGGGUAUCUUGAGUAUGGAAGAGGUUAGUGGAAUUGCGAGUGUAGAGGUGAAAUUCGUAGAUAUUCGCAGGAACACCAGUGGCGAAGGCGGCUAACUGGUCCAUAACUGACGCUGAGGUGCGAAAGCGUGGGGGAGCAAAACAGGAUUUAGAUACCCUGGUAGUCCACGCCGUAAAACGAUGAAAUGUUAGCCGUCGGGGCAGUUUACUGUUCGGUGGCGCAGCUAACGCAUUAAACAUUCCGCCUGGGGAGUACGGUCGCAAGAUU